GGGGUGUUAGCUCAGUUGGCUAGAGCGUCUGCAUGGCAUGCAGAAGGUCAGGAGUUCGAGUCUCCUACACUCCACCA
rnacentral:tRNA from 1 species